AUGGGUUGGGCACUACAAGUCCCAGCAGCCCCAGGGCUCUUAAAAGGAAGUAGUAAGGUUGUGUUUGUUCUUUUCACUUCCGGUUUUUUGGUUUUGGGGAAAGGUGGCGUGGAAUGUAGAGUGGCAUGUAGAUGUUACUUUGGGGAUAUGAGCGCAGAUAAUCAUUGCCGCCAAAUACCGCGGGAGCGUUGCUGAGAACUGAGAAUAUGCUGUACCGACUAAUAUGGUGUGACUGGAUUAUUGCCUGACUGUGGCCUGACCAUCUUGUCGAAAUAGUGGAUGUGAAAGGGAUGCAUGGUUACCGUUUACUUUAUGGUUAAAAUAUUGUUUUGUUUCGCUUUCUUUAUUACCUUUUGUUUGUAAGUGUGGAGAUCCGGAGUGGUAGAGAUUGAGGUACUAGUGAAUGUGUUUGGUUGUUGAUUUUAUGUUUGUGUACCUUGUAUUGCCCACUGUUAAUUGUGUUUUGUUUAGACGGCGGUGGUUAUCGGGUUGCCCUCACAGUGUGGAUGACAGUGGUAAGGUGGCUGGGAUUGUGUGGUGGUUUGGUCACUGUAUUUCUGUGUCUUCUGUAGGUUUGCAGUGUGAUUGCUGUGAGCUUGGCUGCUGUGAGAACACUUUGGCUUCUAGGCCCUUCUUUCACUUUCUUAGGCAACCUGUGGCCACCUAGGGCCAGUUUUCUUUUAUUUCUUUUUCUUUAUUUUGUGGGCAUUUACAUCCAAAAGGGUAUGUGAUAUGUUUUAACAUGUUUGACUUGUCUGUAAUAAAAAUGUAUUCGAUUCUUUAAAGUCACCUCAUGGCCCCUUCUUUUGGUUAUUGACACAGUGAUUGGUCAUCAUACCACAAUUGGCGUA